ACCUGAAAAAUAAUGCAAGAUGUAAUGGCGGGAUUUCUGAAAUUUUCGCGAAAUAUUUUUACCCGCCCCCUCUUCCUUUAGCUUCUGCACCAAUUUUAUUUUUUUUAUUAUCCCGCCCCCUCUUCCUCCCAUUCUCUCUUUCUCAAUCCAUCCUUUUGCCCUGAUUCUCUCUCUCUCAACUAGUGUUCUCCCCUGGCUUCCUUCUUUUCGUUCUUUUCUUUUUUUCCACCGAGAGACCGAGAGAGGGAGAUCGGAGAGGGAGGCCGAGAGAGCUGAAGAGAGAGCUAGAGAGAACCUGAGAUAGACGCGAGGUGGGCUAGCCACCGUUGGGGGUGGACAACGACGCCGGAGGCCGGUGGGUCACGGCCCGACGCCGGUAAAGCCAGGGGACGUCUUUUUCCGGCAUUUUCUCGGCACCCAAACAUGGAGAAAUUCAUUUUUCGAUGCAAAACCAUGUCUUUUACAAAAUCCUUUUGGGCUGCAUGACUAUGAGGCAGAAUAUGAUUUUUAUCGAGAUGUGGUUGAGAAGCCGUCGGAAAUACCCUUCAUUUCUGGGAGUAACAACAAUGCCCAAACUCCCUCUUUGUGUGAAUCUACAAGGAGGCUACUGUUCACGGGCUGAAAAACGACGAUCGGAUGCUCAGAAUCUGAUCUCCACCGUUCACAACGAAGAUUCACGUGUCAUGAACAUCCACACAAAAUUUCAGCUCAAUCGGACCACAAAUGCUCGUUGAUCGGAGCACUUGAUGAAAUCUGGACAGAGUUUCCAGAAACUCACGGCAGCCUUCUUCUCUUCUUCUUUUUUCUGAUUUUCUCCUCUGUCUCUCUCUCUCUCUCUCUGAUUUUUGGACGAAGCUCUCCCCACUAAAAACUCUCUGAUUUCUUUUCUCCCUCUCACAGCUGUAAAGCCAGCCACCUAACUUUCUUUUUCUUUCUUUCUCUUGCCUCUUGCAAGUCAAGAGAGGCAAGUGGGUUGGUUCCCACAUAGGAGGGACCACCCAACAAAUAUACCAAUGAUUUUUCUGUCUGUUGAAAUUUGUUGAUUUGAUUGUCAGGUUUGAAUUGUUGUAUUUUAUGUUGGAAAAGCAGUUCUUCCCCCAAUGAGAAAAACAGAGGGGCACAAUUUGUUGAACAUCUCUGUUUCAUAUCCUGACCCUGUACUAUCAAAGGUAGUUUUGGGGUGAUACUAUAAAUGUAAAACUGGAAUCCAGGAAUAUGAUUCAAGUUUCGGAUUCACAUAAAUUCUUCAACUUUUCAUAUACAAAAGUUACAUCAAUCCACUUGUCUACGACUCUA